rnacentral:rRNA from 1 species
GAGUUUGAUCCUGGCUCAGAUUGAACGCUGGCGGCAGGCCUAACACAUGCAAGUCGAGCGGAAACGAGUUAACUGAACCUUCGGGGAACGUUAACGGCGUCGAGCGGCGGACGGGUGAGUAAUGCCUGGGAAAUUGCCCUGAUGUGGGGGAUAACCAUUGGAAACGAUGGCUAAUACCGCAUAAUAGCUUCGGCUCAAAGAGGGGGACCUUCGGGCCUCUCGCGUCAGGAUAUGCCCAGGUGGGAUUAGCUAGUUGGUGAGGUAAUGGCUCACCAAGGCGACGAUCCCUAGCUGGUCUGAGAGGAUGAUCAGCCACACUGGAACUGAGACACGGUCCAGACUCCUACGGGAGGCAGCAGUGGGGAAUAUUGCACAAUGGGCGCAAGCCUGAUGCAGCCAUGCCGCGUGUAUGAAGAAGGCCUUCGGGUUGUAAAGUACUUUCAGCAGUGAGGAAGGUGGGUAUGUUAAUAGCAUACUCAUUUGACGUUAGCUGCAGAAGAAGCACCGGCUAACUCCGUGCCAGCAGCCGCGGUAAUACGGAGGGUGCGAGCGUUAAUCGGAAUUACUGGGCGUAAAGCGCAUGCAGGUGGUUUGUUAAGUCAGAUGUGAAAGCCCGGGGCUCAACCUCGGAAUUGCAUUUGAAACUGGCAAACUAGAGUACUGUAGAGGGGGGUAGAAUUUCAGGUGUAGCGGUGAAAUGCGUAGAGAUCUGAAGGAAUACCGGUGGCGAAGGCNGCCCCCUGGACAGAUACUGACACUCAGAUGCGAAGCGUGGGGAGCAAACANGAUUAGAUACCCCUGGNUAGUCCACNCNNAAACGAUGUCNANCUGGNAGGGUUGGUGGCCUNGAGCCUNGCUUUUCGGAGCUUACGCGNNNAGUA